AAGGUUCAUUCGGCCACAGAAGAUGAAAUGACAGCACUCACUGAUGAAAUUUUGAGUUGUGGCUAUCAUGGACCGGUUAAUGUCGAAAAGAAAGAAGAAAUUCUUCGUGCUGUUGUUCUUCAUGCCACACUUCGGUUGGUGCCUCUGCUCUCACAGCUACGUGAUGGUCUUAACCUUUAUGGUCUUACUAAUCUACUGAAGCAGUACCCAAACAUCUGCCGAUCGCUGUUUGUCCCAGGGGUGGAAGUUAAGGUGAAGAGCCUGAGGCCGGUGACCAUCCAGUCAUCCUUUCCCCAAGUUCAUUCUUACAGUGGCUCACAGGACAAGGCUACAUUCCUGUCCUGCCAGAUGAGAAGAUAAACUUCAAAGUGUCCAUGCAGUUCGACCACUCAUGCCAUAUUCAGUAUGGCGCUCAUGAAGUUUGCUACCCAACCGUUACAGCUAACACAGUCAAACUACCAGUUCAGCAUAUGCAAACUUAUGAAGAGUUCAAGUAUGUGAUGACAAACGCGUUUCACCAUGGUCAGGCAUUUCUUCAUAUUUAGGAGCAUGAUCAGCCAGCCAGACAUCAUGAUUGUUCUAUGAAAAGUUAUUAAAACCAAAAAA